rnacentral:rRNA from 1 species
AUUGAACGCUGGCGGCAUGCCUUACACAUGCAAGUCGAACGGUAGGGGGAGCAAUCCCCUGAGAGUGGCGAACGGGUGAGUAAAGCAUCGGAACGUGCCCAGUUGUGGGGGAUAACUACUCGAAAGAGUGGCUAAUACCGCAUACGACCUGAGGGCGAAAGCGGGGGACCGAAAGGCCUCGCGCAGUUGGAGCGGCCGAUGUCAGAUUAGCUAGUUGGGGGGGUAAAGGCCCACCAAGGCGACGAUCUGUAGCUGGUCUGAGAGGACGACCAGCCACACUGGGACUGAGACACGGCCCAGACUCCUACGGGAGGCAGCAGUGGGGAAUUUUGGACAAUGGGCGCAAGCCUGAUCCAGCCAUGCCGCGUGCAGGAAGAAGGCCUUCGGGUUGUAAACUGCUUUUGUCAGGGAAGAAAUCCCUUGGGUUAAUACCUCGGGGGGAUGACGGUACCUGAAGAAUAAGCACCGGCUAACUACGUGCCAGCAGCCGCCGUAAAAC